UACAGAGGUCCCAAGCGUUGUUCGGAUUCACUGGGCGUAAAGGGUGCGUAGGCGGUCGGGUAAGUUUGAUGUGAAAUCUCUGGGCUUAACCCAGAAAUGGCAUUGAAUACUAUUCGGCUAGAGAGUCGGAGGGGGGACUGGAAUACUUGGUGUAGCGGUGGAAUGCGCAGAUAUCAGGAGGAACACCGGUGGCGAAGGCGGGUCUCUGGGCAGUAACUGACGCUGAGGAGCGAAAGCGUGGGGAGCGAACAGG
rnacentral:rRNA from 1 species